rnacentral:rRNA from 1 species
ACGGGGCCCGCACAAGCGGAGGAACAUGUGGUUUAAUUCGAUGAUACGCGAGGAACCUUACCUGGGCUUAAAUGUAGAGUGCAUGGGGUAGAAAUAUCCCUUUCCUUCGGGACUCUUUGCAAGGUGCUGCAUGGUUGUCGUCAGCUCGUGCCGUGAGGUGUCGGGUUAAGUCCCAUAACGAGCGCAACCCUUAUCGUUAGUUGCCAGCGGGUCAUGCCGGGAACUCUAACGAAACUGCCGGUGUAAACCGUGAGGAAGGUGGGGAUGACGUCAAAUCAGCACGGCCCUUAUGUCCAGGGCUACACACGUGUUACAAUGGCCGGUACAGAGGGCAGCUACCUGGAGACAGGAUGCGAAUCUCCAAAGCCGGUCUCAGUUCGGAUCGGAGUCUGCAACUCGACUCCGUGAAGCUGGAUUCGCUAGUAAUCGCGCAUCAGCCAUGGCGCGGUGAAUACGUUCCCGGGCCUU